AGAGUUUGAUCAUGGCUCAGGACGAACGCUGGCGGCGUGCUUAACACAUGCAAGUCGAGCGGUAAGGCCCUUCGGGGUACACGAGCGGCGAACGGGUGAGUAACACGUGGGUAACCUGCCCUGUACUCUGGGAUAAGCCUUGGAAACGAGGUCUAAUACCGGAUACGACCACUGAUCGCAUGAUCGGUGGUGGAAAGUUCCGGCGGUAUGGGAUGGACCCGCGGCCUAUCAGCUUGUUGGUGGGGUAAUGGCCUACCAAGGCGACGACGGGUAGCCGGCCUGAGAGGGUGACCGGCCACACUGGGACUGAGACACGGCCCAGACUCCUACGGGAGGCAGCAGUGGGGAAUAUUGCACAAUGGGCGAAAGCCUGAUGCAGCGACGCCGCGUGAGGGAUGACGGCCUUCGGGUUGUAAACCUCUUUCAGCAGGGACGAAGCGCAAGUGACGGUACCUGCAGAAGAAGCACCGGCUAACUACGUGCCAGCAGCCGCGGUAAUUC
rnacentral:rRNA from 1 species